rnacentral:rRNA from 1 species
GCUAGCGGCAGGCCUAAUACAUGCAAGUCGAGGGGCAGUUCUGCUUUCGGGCAGAAGCGACCGGCGCACGGGUGCGUAACGCGUAUGCAACCUACCCACAACUGGGGGAUAGCCCGGAGAAAUUCGGAUUAAUACCCCAUAAUGCAGGGGUACUGCAUGGUACUAUUUGCUAAAGAUUUAUUGGUUGUGGAUGGGCAUGCGUCUGAUUAGUUAGUUGGUGAGGUAACGGCUCACCAAGGCGAUGAUCAGUAGGGGGUCUGAGAGGAUGAUCCCCCACACUGGUACUGAGAUACGGACCAGACUCCUACGGGAGGCAGCAGUAGGGAAUAUUGGUCAAUGGGCGGAAGCCUGAACCAGCCAUGCCGCGUGCAGGAUGACGGCCUUCUGGGUUGUAAACUGCUUUUAUCAGGGAAGAAAACGGUCAUGCGUGACAGAUUGACGGUACCUGAAGAAUAAGCACCGGCUAACUCCGUGCCAGCAGCCGCGGUAAUACGGAGGGUGCAAGCGUUGUCCGGAUUUAUUGGGUUUAAAGGGUGCGU